AUCUGCAGCCAUACCACCCUGAACGUGCCCGAUCUCAUCUGAUCUCGGAAGCUUAGCAGGGUCAGGCCUCUAGUGCUUGGAUGGGAGACCGCCUGGGAAUACCAGGUGCUGUAGUCU
rnacentral:rRNA from 1 species